AUGAUAUCAGCCCAAGUAUUAAUAACGCGACCUUCACUAUCAACUACAGAUUGGUUGAAAUUGAAACCAUUUAGGUUGAAAGCCAUAGUACUAAUACCUAAAGCAGUGAACCAGAUUCCUACUACAGGCCAAGCAGCCAAGAAGAAGUGUAAAGAACGAGAGUUGUUGAAACUAGCAUAUUGGAAGAUUAAUCGGCCAAAAUAA
rnacentral:rRNA from 1 species